rnacentral:rRNA from 1 species
AGUGAACGCUGGCGGUAGGCCUAACACAUGCAAGUCGAACGGCAGCACAGUAAGAGCUGGCUCUUACGGGUGGCGAGUGGCGGACGGGUGAGGAAUACUUCGGAAUCUACUUUUGCGUGGGGGAUAACGUAGGGAAACUUACGCUAAUACCGCAUACGACCUACGGGUGAAAGCAGGGGAUCUUCGGACCUUGCGCGAUUGAAUGAGCCGAUGUCGGAGUAGCUAGUUGGCGGGGUAAAGGCCCACCAAGGCGACGAUCCGUAGCUGGUCUGAGAGGAUGAUCAGCCACACUGGAACUGAGACACGGUCCAGACUCCUACGGGAGGCAGCAGUGGGGAAUAUUGGACAAUGGGCGCAAGCCUGAUCCAGCCAUACCGCGUGGGUGAAGAAGGCCUUCGGGUUGUAAAGCCCUUUUGUUGGGAAAGAAAAGCAGCAGGUUAAUACCCCGCUGUUCUGACGGUACCCAAAGAAUAAGCACCGGCUAACUUCGUG